rnacentral:lncRNA from 1 species
UCUUCCUAACCUCGCAUGCAUGGCUUGCUCGAAUGUUCAACGACAUUGUAAUGUGCAAGCUUUGCUGCCUCUACUCUUUCACUAUUCAUCCAUUUUUGAUUCAAAAGGAAUGGAAUAAAAGAAAACAUAUCCUUCGAAUUGUAAGACUACAUUUUCCCUGACUAAUACGUCAACGAGUAAAUUAAGAAUGCACAAGUAGAAAAAUGAUAAGCACAAACAGGCUACCAUGGAAAAUAUUACUAGGCAGUUAUGUUUACUUCGCCUAUAAGGACUUCUACCGGUGGUGGUAUUUGGUGGUGUCUCGUCGUCCUCGUGCCGUACAAUCUGCCAUUGCGAUUUGGAAAAUUGUUUGUCGCAGAACAAUAACCGUUAAAACAACACCCCCUUUAAACACACAGAGCACUUUUCAUUCGUCCCGGCCCGAAAAUACCGGGCCGUGCUUGCCUCCCGGGCCGGGCUCAGGCCUGGAUUUUUUGCCCAUGCCAAUUUUCGGGCCGGGCUCGGGCUUCAGUUUGCAACCCGAAAAAAGCCCGGCCCGGCCCAACAUUACUAAAUACUCUGCAGCUAACAUGGAUUCCAGAUGAAAAAGGCCCAGCCCAGCCCAGCAAAUAGGACACUACACAAAUAUCCUGAACCACCAGCCCCCUCCCCCAACUCCCCACCUACCGAGCCGUUCCCAAACCCCAAUCCCCCAGGGGCAGUCUCUCUCGUUCCCCUCUCCUCUUCUCCGGCCGCGCGAUGUGGUCCCUCCUCCGCCGUGCAACGCCCACCCUCCUCCGGCUGCAAAUCUGCGACGGCUCCUCCUCCGGUCGCGCGAACUCCUCUGCCUGCAGAUCUGCAACGGGCUACCUCCUACGGCUACAGAUCGGAUGCCCACCUCGUCUCUCUCCCUCACUGAUCUGAUACUUGUAUAUUGAUUUGCAUAUCACGUGUGUGUUCAUGUGCAGAUCCUGUAUUCAUGUGUGCUUGUGUAUUUAUGUAGCAAAUGUGUGUUCAGGUCAUUGAUGUUGAUUAUGGAUGUGCAGACUUUUGGUUUUCUUUUUGAGGGGUACUCGUAAUUUUUGGUGGGCUACAAUCUGUUAAACAUCGGGCCUUGGGCCGGGCUCGGGCUUUUACAAGCCCGGCCCAAAACCGCGUGGGCCAGGUAUAGUGCAGUGCACGGCCACCAUGCUAACGUCUGUAGAAGCUGACAUAUCUCCAACGUUUAUCUGUCCAGGCUGGAAGGAAACCGUGAGUGGCAGCCAUCAGUUGGUUGGAGCCUUGGAGGACGACUCAAGGACAUGAAGGAUCGAAAGGCUCCAAGCAACUUUCUGACAGGGACACGCAAAUUCGCUCGCACGAGGAAAUGAAAACCGCGCGGUACUCGACGUGACGUUAACUGAUGUUUCUAUGACGUCUCGCCCUUUUUCGUUCUUCAUUUGGCAGGGAAAACGGAAUGACGAUACUACAUCAGGAGACACACGUGUUGGAACAUGGCGAUUUAGGCAGAGCACUUAUUUACUUCUGCUUCUCUCAGACUGCAUCACCAGCUCUCUGUGCAUAUUUCCUUUUUGAAUUUUUACUUUCUUUUUCUGUCGCAGUAACUAUAAGAAGAACGAAAGAGCGUGUAUAUGAAGAACCCGAACCUGUCGUCACACGUACAGAAGACCUGAAACCACCUUUCCUUUUGGCGAAACGACGCACAUCCGCACCCGAAUUAUUAUCACAAGCCCGAAGGAAGGAAGGGAGGAACAUUCGAUUCCAACGGAACGAUUCCGUCCGCUCGGGGGGAAAGGCAAAGAAGGGGAAAAAGAGGAAAGCAUCACUUGCAUCGGCGAGCAAACCAAACAAAACAAACGCCGCCCACAAGCGCACCCAGCCGAAGAAGGCCAGGUCGUCGUCUACCAAACGGGAGAAACGAGAGAGAGGCAGCCGCAAAAAGCUUUGCUGGGGUAAAACAAUUAAAAAUUCCACCCGUCGCGUGCGACGAAGCCUCGAGGCGAGACGCCUGGCCGAGGCGGAGAGAGAGAGGGAGGAGAGAGGGGGUGUGGGUGUGACCGAGCCUCCGUGUCCGUGUGGGUGUGGGCGAGCAGCGGUUUGUUCGAAUCUCGCGAUCCCCAAAUCCGGAGGCAUCCCUCGGAUUGGCCGAUUCGGGCGCGGCGGCUGCGGCGGCGAGAGAUUCGCCCGAUCGUGGAGCUUUAGGGGUCGGAUUUGUGCUUGCGAUUUGGGGUGGGCGUUCCUGAGCUUCGUCGCGGGGAAGGCGGGCGGGGUUGGAGGGGUGUGGGGUCGGGCCGGGCGGUUUGCUUGGGUUGGGUGGAUGCUGUCGGUGAGGAGGCGGCAGGAGUAUGCCGGCGGCGCCGUGGGCGGCGGCGGCGGCAUGGAGGACGACGCCGAGCUGGAGGAAGGGGAGGCCUGCGUCGACGACGCCUUCGUCGACCCCGACGUCGCGCUCUCUUACAUUGUGAGUCGCCUCUCCUUCCCCUCCCCUACGACGCCCGUCACUUGCUUCGGUGCUCGCUUAGUUUCUCAUGGCUUAGACGUGUAGCAUGUCGUACCAAUUUAGUGCUACGAGUGGCUUGAUCGGGCCCAAUUGGUGUAGGGGAAUGGACGAGCAUGCCUUGUUUGGUUCUCAUGCCUGCCUCGUAGUAGCCGCGCUGAUGCGAGCGUAGGGAUACCAGCGGUUGCAUUAAUUGAUCAUCCAGCUGCAGUUUCUCGCCUUAGUUCGAAGCAAUCGCAUUGGUGGAUCAUUUAAAUUUACUCAGUUUGUCGCUUUGUUUACGACGACGGUGAUGCUAACUUUGUCUAGCGAACGCCUUUAUGACGCUGGUUAUUUUGGAACAGAAAAGGCUACUCUCUUACUAGAGAAGGGUAGUUAGUUUUGGUGUGCCAGUAGUAAUUUGGAUUUGGCUAGUCCGUGUUUGUGACUAGACUGUACGCUCAUUGGGGGAAAGAGAAAAUCUGCGACGUGGAUCAACCCGUGCCCCCCUCCUCCAACUAGUAGGCUGAAUCCAUGGCAAUGGUACUUGGACGAGUUUUGACAGGACUAGAAUCGUGUUAUCGUUGACAGUGGGACUGUGUGCUUCUCCUUGGUCUUUUAGUAUCCAUGGGUUCGAUGUUACACAUGCAAUGCACAUGAGUUACUAUAACAUUUGUUAUUUCUGAGCUACAGCUGCUUCAUACAUCACGUACUUCAAAAUUUUCAUCAUGUGUACCUGAAAUCCUUGUAUACAGAAGAAAUGAAAAGUGAAGGGAAAAGAAAGACAUGAACACUGAAGCCUUUGAUUGGAAAGGAAAACCUACUGAAGACAUUACCUUCUAAUUUACUUAAAAAGGGCUUGUUUGGAAUUAUGAAAUAUUUACCAACAACUUUAGUUUGAAGAUGGUACACUGUAUACUGUAUCUACAGUCAUAUUUGUUGUGACCACCUUUUUUGUUUUUCUGAUGAUGUGUUUUUUUAGGAUGAAAAACUCCAAAACGUGCUAGGCCAUUUUCAGAAGGACUUUGAAGGAGGUGUCUCUGCAGAGAAUCUAGGUGAGGUGAUGUUGAGCUUAUGCUGCAGUCUGCUUGUUUUGGCUUCAUUGAAAAGAAACAUUAAACACAGAACUAAUCUUUGGCAGGAUCAAAAUUUGGUGGAUAUGGUUCAUUUUUGCCUACAUACCAGCGUUCUCCUCUUCUACCCCAAACCAGAAGCCCACCUAAGGCCGCAAACCGUAGCUCAAGAUCUCCUUAUCAUCAGUCUACUGAGGUGCUCAAUUAAGCUUUGGCUGUACUUUUUGGGACAGCAUUGUCAAUCAACAUGAUAUCAUGUGACAUGUUACGAUUUACAAUGUAGGGUGUGUCUCAGAACCCUCCUGCUGUGCCAGUUCCAUCUGUUUCCCAAAAUAAUGCUUCUGUGGUGCCUUUUCCCGGCGAUUCAAGUAAACAUGAAAGAUGUGAAAGCACAAAAGCUAUAAGGGGAUCUAGCACUCGUGAUUCAUAUGCUCCAUCUAAGAGUAGCGACCACAAUAGGUUUAAAGUUCGAAUAAAAGUUGGUUCUGACAAUGUCUUGGCAAGAAAUAAUGCAGCUAUUUACAGUGGUUUGGGCCUUGAUAUUUCUUCACCUUCAUCCGGGGAGGAUAGCCCUGAUGGCUGCGGGGGCCUCUCCCCGGAAUUUAAUAAUGUGCAAAAUGAAUCUCCCCGGACCAUACUUCAGGUAAAGUACUGCAUGAUCACACUAUUAUCUCUUUCUAUUUAUACCUCAUCAUGAAUGGUUCAAAGAGUGAAUAACCACUUCCAUUCUCUAACCACGAUCACACAGAUCAUGACAUGCUUUUCAAUUCCUGGAGGGUUCUUGUUAUCCCCUCUGCAAGGAAGUGUUUUGCAAUUGACAAAAAAGGUUAUGCCUUCAUCAAAGAAAUGGGAAACAAGUGUGGAUGCAGAAAACGCACAGGAAGCUUAUGAAGGACAUGUGGUUAAGAAAAUGAAACCUGAUAGUAAGAAAAAGAAACCCGUAGAUAUGAAGAGGUCAAAUAACAAAAAUGAUGUCAGUGCAGUUAUGAAAAAGGAGAUUGACAUAGAAACACCUGCUGGUCAAAAGAUCGUAUCAGAAGCUCUCAACAUACAAUUGCUGUCUGGUUCCAGAGGCAUUGAGGCAAAAAGCGAGAGUCAAUUUGAAGAGGAACCAACAGGAAAAACUUUGGAAAGAAAUGAAGAUGCCGGAUCAAAAGAAUGGGCCAUAAACAACAAUGUCAUCAACACUGAAACUGUCGAAAUGGAGGCAACCGAAUGUUUAGGAAGUGGUUUUGGCAACACAGAAAUGGAACUUUCGGCAGCAAAGAGGGAACCAAAGACAGAAAUGACGGCUUCGGUUUUUGAAGAGACAAAUAGAACUAAUGACACAGAUUUUCUGUUGGAUAGGAAGCAUGGAAGAAAGAUAAAACUUGAGAGUAAAUGCAAUGCCAAUGGAGUUAACUUUGAAGAUAACACGGUUAUAAAUGAAAGAGGUCCUCCUGUUUGCAUGGAAAAGGUUUCUAGCAAAGAAACCAUACUUUGUGAUACAAAUGGGAAAAAUAGCACCAAGAGUGAGGCCAAAAGAAUACAUAGGGAACAAAAGAAGACUGCUUCAACAUCAUCUGAUUUCCUCGAUGUCGACAAUGGUAGUCAUCCUUCUGCUGCAGUUAAAGAGAGGAAAAAUGAUUCUCAGUCCAAAUCUAGCCAAUCCGGGAAGAAACCCAAAACAAAAUCACAUGGAGAUGCCAGGGACAAUUUUCCUGACCGAUCUCAUGGAUGCAAGGAGCAGGAUAUAUUGGAGAAUGGUAGUGGAUUGGGAGAGUUCCAUCUAAAGGAAAAAUCUUGGAGCAAAAGGGAUCCUGAUAUGCCUGGGGCACCAAAGAGGGAGAUCUCAUAUAGUUCAAAACAUGAGAGACAUACAGCUUCAGAGGAGCAGAGGAUGCAUGUACCUCCAUCUUCUGCAUCAACUGCAAAUGCAGCUCCUGCACUUCAACCAGCUCCUGCACUUCAACCCCCAGUUGUGAUAGAGGAACAUUGGGUACAAUGUGACAUAUGCCAGAAAUGGCGUCUCCUACCAUAUGAGAUGAAUCCUACUACUCUUCCAAAGGAGUGGAAAUGUAGCAUGCAACAGUGGCUGUAAGUUCAAGUUCAUAUACAACUGUUUAUACUUCCUGUUCUUUUUGCUGCCUCUAUUCUUUUGUCAUCGAGCGUGCUGGUAGGCAGUAGCAUGUAACCGGUGGCACCUUAUUAUCGGGAGCUGUUUGAUUUGACUGUUAACUAAUACCUUUUGCACUAUAUGCAAACUAUUCUUUCCAUUCAACUUGAAUGUAAGCUAUAAUUUUUAUGGAGCAGCUGCAUCCUGAAAGUAAGGAUUGGAAUUUGGAUAGGUCUUGGUUUGUGCCUUGCUAUAUUACACUAACACCGAAACUGUUAGGUUGUAAUUUAUGAUGUUUUGCCAUUGAGGUGGUAUCUCGUAACAAUAUAAUAUUUCUCCAUAUGCAUAAGUUGAUGAGCACUUUUUGUUCCUUUCUAAAGAGCUAGAAUUUGGGACUUUUGCAGACCUGGGAUGAAUAGGUGCGACGUUGGUGAGGAUGAGACUACAAAUGCCCUGAAUGCACUAUAUGUCAUCCCAGCUCCUGCCAACGGUAUUCCCUCAGUUGGUCAUCCUCAUGCUGCUUCUGCAGGACUAACAUCAGCCAGCAUGUUAAAUAUGAAUGGACAUGCUGAACAUAGUAGGAAAAGGAAAAGUUUUCCAAGUGAUGGAAAUGGUUUGCUUGACGGCUCUCACCCAACACAAGCUUCAGCUUAUCCAACGAGCAAUGAACAUGCUCUUACUAGAGUUAGAAGUACUGCUGAUGGUAACCAUUAUCCUACUGAGAGAGACUCUUUGAGCAAAUCAGUUGACCUUUUCACUGAAAAGAAGAAGUCCAAGAGCAAGAGUCGUGGCAGCUAUUCUGAUGGAGGUUCUUUUAUUGUUCUCCCUCCUAUUAUUUCGGUUCUAUUUGAUACACUACAUUCCUGUCGUUUCUACUCUAUUUUGUAUUUACAUUUAUUUGCUGACAAUACAGGAGAACUUGUGGAAAGAUCCAAGAAGCAUUCAAAAGUAAAAGGCAAGAGAGAGAUGGAUCAUGGUGAAUACAAAAUUUCUAAGAAAAUUAAAAAGGAGGAGCGGCAUCGUUCUGGCAGAGAUCGGAACCCUGGGUGUGAUUUAGCUAGUGGAGACGUUCCGAUUGAGGCCAAACCUUUGCUUGCAAAUUCAGUGACCUUAAAAAGUUUGGGCGAAAAGGGUGAUGUUUCUUCAUCAAAGCAAAAAAAUGUUUCGAGGUAUGAUCGUUCUGAUAAAUCCAAGAGAGAAAAUGAUGAAGAUAUUGUUCUUCCUGAAGACAGGAACAAGGAACAAUUUCAGACCUCAGAUGCACAAAGAUCAGAUUUUUCUAGCAAGAAGAGGAUAGUGAAGGAAUGGGAGGAGAGUCAGCACAAUUCAAUAGCUCAGUUGAGCAAAGGAACUGUAGUGAACCAUAGCUCUGCUGCCAAGGAAACCUAUAAAGAUCAGAACUUAAAGGAAACAAAGUCAAAGUUAACGAAGUCUGAAGAAUUCUAUCCCACGAUAGAUUCCAAAUCAGUAAAAGGUCAGGAUUCCAAACAGAUAUCGUCUCAUAAUGGGGGGAGUGUAAACAAUGGACCCAUUGAGGAUAGCGCACGUUUUGCUGGUAAAAGAGGUCCGCCCGAACCAUCAGAAAAGCGAUCUUCUGGACAGGCUUUGGACUUGGCUGAACCUGCUUCUACUGAUGUGGCCUACUUCCAGACUACAGCUGUAACUUCAAGUUCUUCAAAGGCCUCAGCCUCGCAGAAAAAGAAACAGAACCCCCAAGUUGCAAAGACUUCGCCAAUUGAGUUGGCUUCCUCAUCACCACUGAGAAACACUCUCAUUGAUAAGGUCUCCCAUAGCAGAAUAUUGGAGAAAGAUGGACCCAUGAAUGCUAAUUCAAGCACCCUGCCGAGCUCAGUAAAGUAUCUAAAUACUGAAGUUGACAUAGUAGACAAUGUCCGGCAGGCUAAAAAGCCCCAGGAUAAUCUGCUUGCAACCGAACCUGUCUUGCAUGGUUCUUCACUAGGAAAUUCUGAUAAAGAUUCUGAACUUGUUCAGUUAACUCGAGGUCAUGCAUCAGAACGAAUUUCUUCGAGGAAGGGUUUGGAUGAUGAUACACAUCAUGCAUCAGAGAGGAAGGAUUUCACUGUGAAUGGCUCCAGCGUAGCUAGGGGUUAUAGCCACUUGCACUCUGGUGAUAAAAACAGCUUGCGCGCUGAUGGCUCUUCAGUGCAACCUAGGAUUGGAGCUUUGGAUGCUAAAGGUGAUUCGAUUGUGCAUGCAAAUAAGAAAAGUGGAACUUCCGUUCAUGACAGAAACGGAUCAACUCAUCGCCCUCCAGAUGGAAAUUCUCAACCAGAGGUCGCAUCCGGAAAGGAUAAAUUGUAUUCCAAGAGUAACAAGCAAGAUAUAGAGAAGCCCAAAGCUCAAAUGGUCCCUUCACCUCUGAUAGAAACCCACCUCACCCCAGUAAAGUCUAAUCCGUCCAAAUUGACACCACAGUCAGGGCGAUGCAAUGAUGAAAAUGGAGCACAACAUGGUGUUGCAAAACAGUCAACUCCGAAUCCUGCAGACACUUCAAGUCCAGCUAGGAAAGUUGGUAAUUCAACUGCAUAUGCUCUCAAAGAAGCUCGAGAUCUAAAGCACAAGGCUAACCGUUUGAAGGUUGUUCACCUUAACAUUUCUCUUAUGAAUAUGCUAACUUUUGUUGUGUAAGGUCCUUACCAACUUUCUCUGCAGAACGAAGGAAAAGAACUUGAAAGCACAAGGCUCUACUUUGAGGCGGCCUUAAAAUUUCUGCAUGUAGCGUCACUUUUGGAACCUCCGAAUAUGGAUGGUUUGAAACAAGGUGAUGCAGCUCAGAGCAUGUAUUCUGAUACUGCAAAACUCUGCAAGUAAGCUACACAUAUACUCCCGUUUGAAAAUUGUAGUAGUUUUAGGUUUGUCCCAAAUCAAACUUCUUGAAGUUUGACCAAGUUUAUAGAGAAAUAUACAAAAAAAUUAUGACGCCAUAUUAGUUUCAUUAUAUCCAUCAAGAAAUAAGUGUUCAUAUUUUAUUUAUUUGGUAUCGUAGACGUUGUUAUAUUUUAAUAUAAACCUAGUCAAACUUCCUGAAGUUUGACCUAAAGUUUGACCUAGGACAAAUCUAAAAGUACUACUAAUAUGAAACAGAGGGAGUUAAUGAUAUAUUGUUCUACUUCUAUGUGCAAAGCUAUUUUAUUUCUGUUAAUAAGUGCUUGAAAUCAUAUUUCCCCUUUUUCUGCAUGGUCUGACUUGGAUGGGUGCUAUCAUCACUAGGUUAGCUUGAUGGUUUUCACAUUACAGUUGAUUAGCCUGACUGUAUUCACAAUUAGGGGAUGCAAGCGGAAUCUCGCUUAAUUGACGGGCUAGUUCAAAAGCUUACAAUUUGACUUGGAGAUUUAGAGUUCGGUCUCGAAGCGGGAUAUAUGUGGGAUCCUGUUUACAUCCCUAUUCACAAUGCAGUUUAUGUAACAAUUAUACUACUUCCUCCGUCCAACAAAGGAUGUCUCAACUUUGACUAAAUUUGAAUGCAUCUAUACACUAAAUCAUGUCUAGAUACAUCCAAAUUUUGACAAAUUUAAGACAUCUUUUGUUGGACGGAGGGAGUACAAAGCUGAUUUGACAUUACUAAAUGUUAGCCAGUUUUUCUUACGGGAAAACUGUAGGGGAGGCCCCAGAAGUAGUUUUAUUAAUAGGGAAGAUAAUUACAAGAGAGCUCUAGGACAAGCUUCUCCAAUAGCAGCACACUGUUUGUGUUAUGAAUAUAAUCAGAAGUUGCGGUUUCGUGUGGCACUAGCAUGUUUUUUAGGUGAAGAGUCUCAAGUUUGGUCAUUAUAAUUCAUUGUAUCCAUUUUUACUGCCCAGCUUUGUUGGUCAAGAAUAUGAAAGGUGUAAGAAGAUGGCCGCUGCUGCUUUAGCAUAUAAAUGUGUUGAAGUAGCUUAUCUCAAGGCUGCAUUCUACAAAUACCCUAUUGCAAGCAAGGAUCGACAGGUGCUGCAGGCAGUUGUACAAACUACACCAGGUAGUUGAAUCUAAUUGGUGAAAUUUUGCUUAUGUAUAUUAUCGAACGUAGCUCGCAUUGUAGAAUUUGAAUUAGUUUACAUUCUAUAAAUAAUAUUAUUUACUAAUUCUUAAAAGUUUGAAUCCAUUAUCUUCGUCAUAUGGAAAAAUCAGAGCAUCAUCAGUGCAAAACUAGUAUCAUCUUUACUGGGUGCUAUACUGCUACCAUAUUGUGGCUCUUUCUCUGGAUUUAUUUAUUUUAUUCCUGAUUGUUACUUUUGUAGGUGAAUCACCAUCAUCUUCGGCUUCAGACAUUGAUAACUUAAAUAACAAUGGAUUAUCUAAGACGGGCCCUUCAGGCAAGGAUGUUAAUUCACCCCAAGUUGCUGGGAACCAUUUGUUACUACCUGUUCGCAAUCAACCACACUUGACAAGGUUACUAGCUUAUGUAAGUGUUCCUGAAUAUCGCGGUUAGCAGAUCAAUCAAGUUCUCAUUUAUGGCCAUGUUUUAAUAGUUUAUAGUGAGUUCAUAAUCUGUUGACGGUAUAACUAGAAGAAAAAAAAUUAGUAUGUCAUGCCCAAUCAGCCAUUAUUAUGGUCAUUGUGUUUCUAGGCCUUGGUGGUUUUUCCUCAAAGGUCUGGGACUCAAUAGGAUAGUGCUCACUGCAGAGUAACAUAUAUGGUGUUUGUUACCAACUUCCCAUUAAUGGAGUAAAGUAUGUGUGCAUGCUACUACAACGUUUUAUUGGUGGGAAAGGAAUUGGCAAGUGAUUUGUUCCAACUCCUGCUAAUUAUGAAUGGUUAGAUUUUUUUUAGUUGAGAUUAGGUCAGGUAGCAAGUGGAAAAUGACGCUUUUGAGCUAAGAAAUAACCCUGAAUUUUUUUGUUUACUAUUUUUUACCAGGAUGUAGCACAAUUGGUUAGAGUUUUUCAAUUUGUUGACUUCCAGUAGUAGAUGUACUUCCAGUUGAGUUGUAUGGAGCAAAUUUCCUUGAAAGUUUACUAGUCUAGACUUUGAGCAUUUUUUAGGGUAUGUUUGGAUUGUUGCCAGC